UGCUGGGUGGAUUAGUGGCGAACGGGUGAGUAACACGUGAGUAACCUGCCCUUAACUCUGGGAUAAGCCUGGGAAACUGGGUCUAAUACCGGAUAGGAGCGCCUACCGCAUGGUGGGUGUUGGAAAGAUUUAUCGGUUUUGGAUGGACUCGCGGCCUAUCAGCUUGUUGGUGAGGUAAUGGCUCACCAAGGCGACGACGGGUAGCCGGCCUGAGAGGGUGACCGGCCACACUGGGACUGAGACACGGCCCAGACUCCUACGGGAGGCAGCAGUGGGGAAUAUUGCACAAUGGGCGAAAGCCUGAUGCAGCGACGCCGCGUGAGGGAUGACGGCCUUCGGGUUGUAAACCUCUUUCAGUAGGGAAGAAGCGAAAGUGACGGUACCUGCAGAAGAAGCACCGGCUAACUACGUGCCAGCAGCCGCGGUAAUACGUAGGGUGCGAGCGUUAUCCGGAAUUAUUGGGCGUAAAGAGCUCGUAGGCGGUUUGUCGCGUCUGUCGUGAAAGUCCGGGGCUUAACCCCGGAUCUGCGGUGGGUACGGGCAGACUAGAGUGCAGUAGGGGAGACUGGAAUUCCUGGUGUAGCGGUGGAAUGCGCAGAUAUCAGGAGGAACACCGAUGGCGAAGGCAGGUCU
rnacentral:rRNA from 1 species